rnacentral:rRNA from 1 species
AAACUUUCAACAACGGAUCUCUUGGUUCUGGCAUCGAUGAAGAACGCAGCAAAAUGCGAUAAGUAAUGUGAAUUGCAGAAUUCAGUGAAUCAUCGAAUCUUUGAACGCACAUUGCGCCCGCCAGUAUUCUGGCGGGCAUGCCUGUUCGAGCGUUAUUU